rnacentral:rRNA from 1 species
GUCGAACGAGGUAGCAAUACCUAGUGGCGAACGGUCGCGUAACACGUGGGCAACCUGCCCCAGAGCGGGGGAUAACACUCCGAAAGGAAUGCUAAUACCGCAUGUGGCGGCUCUCUGCAUGGAGAGUUGGCUAAAGAUUUAUCACUCUGGGAUGGGCCCGCGGCCUAUCAGCUAGUUGGUGGGGUAACGGCCUACCAAGGCUUCGACGGGUAGCUGGUCUGAGAGGACGAUCAGCCGGAUUGGGACUGAGAUACGGCCCAGACUCCUACGGGGGGCAGCAAUUAGGAAUCUUGCGCAAUGGGCGAAAGCCUGACGCAGCGACGUCGCGUGGAGGAUGAAAUCUUUCGGGAUGUAAACUCCUUUUGUGAGGGAAGAAGAAUGUGACGGUACCUCACGAAUAAGCCCCGGCUAACUACGUGCCAGCAGCCGCGGUAAUACGUAGGGGGCGAGCGUUGUCCGAAGUUACUGGGCGUAAAGCGCGCGUAGGCGGGCUCUUAAGUGAGGGGUGAAAGGUUCGGGCUCAACCCGAACACUGCCUUUCAUACUGGGAGCCUUGAGUGCGGGAGAGGCGAGUGGAAUGGUCGGUGUAGCGGUGAAAUGCGUAGAUAUCGAUCGGAACACCCAUGGCGAAGGCAGCUCGCUGGCCUGCAACUGACGCUGAGGCGCGAAAGCGUG